CAUGCGGUGUCAGUCUAAGUACUUGAUAGCGGCAUGGCUUCAAAUUGAGGU
rnacentral:ncRNA from 1 species